AGAGUUUGAUCCUGGCUCAGGACGAACGCUGGCGGCGUGCCUAACACAUGCAAGUCGAACGGAGAAUUUCGAAGAGUUUACUUGGAGAAAUUUUUAGUGGCGGACGGGUGAGUAACGCGUGGGUAACCUACCCAUAAACCCGGGACAACCCUUGGAAACGAGGGCUAAUACCGGAUAAUCUUUUGGUUUGGCAUCAAACUUAAAGAAAAGGUGGCCUCUGAAAAUGCUACCGAUUAUGGAUGGACCCGCGUCUGAUUAGCUAGUUGGUGGGUAAAGGCCUACCAAGGCGACGAUCAGUAGCCGGCCUGAGAGGGUGAACGGCCACACUGGGACUGAGACACGGCCCAGACUCCUACGGGAGGCAGCAGUGGGGAACCUUCCGCAAUGGACGAAAGUCUGACGGAGCAACGCCGCGUGUAUGAUGAAGGUCUUCGGAUUGU
rnacentral:rRNA from 1 species